GAUGAACGCUAGCGGCAGGCCUAACACAUGCAAGUCGAGGGGUAUUAGGAGCUUGCUCCUAAGAGACCGGCGCACGGGUGCGUAACGCGUAUGCAAUCUACCUUUUACAGGGGAAUAGCCCAGAGAAAUUUGGAUUAAUGCCCCAUAGUAUAUAUUAUUCGCAUGUUUGAUAUAUUAAAGUUCCAACGGUAAAAGAUGAGCAUGCGUCCCAUUAGUUAGUUGGUAAGGUAACGGCUUACCAAGACGAUGAUGGGUAGGGGUCCUGAGAGGGAGAUCCCCCACACUGGUGCUGAGACACGGACCAGACUCCUACGGGAGGCAGCAGUGAGGAAUAUUGGACAAUGGGCGCAAGCCUGAUCCUGCCAUGCCGCGUGCAGGAAGAAGCAUCUAUGGUGUGUAAACUGCUUUUGUACGGGAAGAAACACCCCUUCGUGAAGGGACUUGACGGUACCGUAAGAAUAAGGAUCGGCUAACUCUGUGCCAGCCGCCGCCGUAA
rnacentral:rRNA from 1 species